rnacentral:rRNA from 1 species
AAAGAUUAUCUUACUAGAUGAGUGUAUAAUUUAUUUAAGAGAAUUAUCUUUUAUUUUAGUAUUUUAUCGAAAAAGUUAAUUUAGUAAUAGUUUACUAGUACUGUAGGGUAAUGUUGAAAUAUUUUGAAAUAAUUAUUUCAUAAAAAGCAUACAUUUUGUAGUACCUUUUGUAUCAGGGUUAAUUUAUUUUAUCUAAUGUAU